ensembl:lncRNA
GUUGAGUGGUCGCACGUGGUGUUCAGCCCACACCUGCCUCCUUCCUGGACCCAAAUGAGCCACACGUCCUGCCACUUCGGGAGUCACCCUCAGCCCAUCAAAAAGCCAUCAUGAAGAUGGGCUUUGGAUGGUAUCAGAGCAAAUUAAUUUGACUUAACACGGCCUCUCUCUCUGCUCUCAAUUACCGAGGAAAGAUCUGAUGUUCAUUUACAUUAUUAUGCUCUCGGGGACACAGAACUCGGUUUCAAAGGCCAAGUAAAGGUCACACGUCCAGAAGCGGAGCAGCCCUUAGCAAACGUCCUCACAGAACAUCUUGUCUCUGCCAUUUUUUUUUUCUUUUUAAAGCUCAGCUUCCCUUCCCCGCUCCCAGCAAUGCUCUCUGCGAUAACGGAGCGCCUGCCUAAAACCCUCUUCCACCUUUGACUUGCACGUGGGUGUUGGGAGCUGACAGUACAGCCCGGUUGCCUGAGACGCAAGUGUGUUAUAGGAUUCGGAACCACUCAGCCCCUAGAGCUCAGGUCUUCCUGUAACAGCCACGUGAUGAGACCUUGUGAGCAUCUGUGUUCUCAGCCGAGAAAUGGGAGUAGUGAUCCCAGCUACCCAGAGUAGCACUGUGAGUGGGAUGCGAGUGAAAGACCCCAGCCCAGAGCCAGCACCGGUGGCCGAGCCUCCUGGGACACACCGCCCUUGAAGACUUCCCGAUUCCACGACUGUCCGGAGAGAGAGACAAACACCGGCCAGGCCUCCCUGGGGGCCGCAAGUCCACAGCCAGUGUGGCUGCUCUCGAGAGGCCAGGGGGCCCAGCCUCGGCACAUCCCGAGGGGCGUGGGGCUCCCAACGUGCUAGGUCUGUACCCAAUAAAGCGUUGGCUCCUUGGCGUCUGCGCUGUCUCUCUGUUCUAUGAUCAUAUAACCUGGAACUCUGGGGGGUUGAUGGGGUGCAGCUUGAGGUAGUAGGGAACCAACACAAACUGUUUGUAGUUUCGGGUGUGCACUGGUGUUUCUCUCCCUCCGUAUCUGCAC